AUUUAUAUAGUAUAUUUAUUAUUUUUAACUUCCAAUUAAAAGAUCUAACUAAAUUAGUAUAAAUA
rnacentral:tRNA from 1 species